CCCUGGGCAUGGCCGGCUCCGUUCCAUCCUUCUGCACAGGGUAUCGCCUCUCUCCGUUUGGUACCUCCCCUUCUCCCCCACGCCCGGACUGGGGUGGUAGACGCCGCCUCCGCUCAUCGCCCCUCCCCAUCGGUUUCCGCGCGAAAAGCCGGGGCGCCUGCGCUGCCGCCGCCGCGUCUGCUGAAGCCUCCGAGAUGCCGGCGCGUACCGCCCCAGCCCGGGUGCCCACACUGGCCGUCCCGGCCAUCUCGCUGCCCGACGAUGUCCGCAGGCGGCUCAAAGAUUUGGAAAGAGACAGCUUAACAGAAAAGGAAUGUGUGAAGGAGAAAUUGAAUCUCUUGCACGAAUUUCUGCAAACAGAAAUAAAGAAUCAGUUAUGUGACUUGGAAACCAAAUUACGUAAAGAAGAAUUAUCCGAGGAGGGCUACCUGGCUAAAGUCAAAUCCCUUUUAAAUAAAGAUUUGUCCUUGGAGAAUGGUGCUCAUGCUUGCAACCGGGAAGUGAAUGGACGUCUAGAAAACGGGAACCAAGCAAGAAGUGAAGUCCGUAGAGUGGGAAUGGCAGAUGCCAACAGCCCCCCCAAGCCCCUUUCCAAACCUCGCACGCCCAGGAGGAGCAAGUCCGAUGGAGAGGCUAAGCCUGAACCUUCACCUAGCCCCAGGAUUACAAGGAAAAGCACCAGGCAAACCACCAUCACAACUCAUUUUGCAAAGGGCCCUGCCAAACGGAAACCUCAGGAAGAGUCUGAAAGAGCCAAAUCGGAUGAGUCCAUCAAGGAAGAAGACAAAGACCAGGAUGAGAAGAGACGUAGAGUUACAUCCAAAGAACGAGUUGCUAGACCACUUCCUGCAGAAGAACCUGAAAGAGCAAAACCAGGAACACGCACUGAAAAGGAAGAAGAAAGAGAUGAAAAAGAAGAAAAGAGACUCCGAAGUCAAACCAAAGAACCAACACCCAAACAAAAACUGAAGGAGGAGCCGGACAGAGAAGCCAGGGCAGGCGUGCACGCUGAUGAGGACGAAGACGGAGACGAGAAAGUAAAGGAUGAGAAGAAGCACAGAAGUCAACCCAAAGAUCUAGCUGCCAAACGGAGGCCCGAAGAAAAAGAACCUGAAAAAGUAAAUCCACAGAUUUCUGAUGAAAAAGAUGAGGAUGAAAAGGAGGAGAAGAGACGCAAAACGACCCCCAAAGAACCAACGGAGAAAAAAAUGGCUCGCGCCAAAACAGUCGUGAACUCCAAGACCCACCCUCCCAAGUGCAUUCAGUGCGGGCAGUACCUGGACGACCCUGACCUCAAAUAUGGGCAGCACCCACCAGACGCGGUGGAUGAGCCACAGAUGCUGACAAAUGAGAAGCUGUCCAUCUUUGACGCCAACGAGUCUGGCUUUGAGAGUUAUGAGGCACUUCCCCAGCACAAACUGACCUGCUUCAGUGUGUACUGUAAGCAUGGUCACCUGUGUCCCAUCGACACCGGCCUCAUCGAGAAGAAUAUCGAACUCUUCUUUUCUGGUUCAGCAAAACCAAUCUAUGAUGAUGACCCAUCUCUUGAAGGUGGUGUUAAUGGCAAAAAUCUUGGCCCCAUAAAUGAAUGGUGGAUCACUGGCUUUGAUGGAGGUGAAAAGGCCCUCAUCGGCUUCAGCACCUCAUUUGCUGAAUACAUUCUGAUGGAUCCCAGUCCCGAGUACGCGCCCAUAUUUGGGCUGAUGCAGGAGAAGAUCUACAUCAGCAAGAUUGUGGUGGAGUUCCUGCAGAGCAAUUCCGACUCGACCUACGAGGACCUGAUCAACAAGAUCGAGACCACGGUUCCUCCUUCUGGCCUCAACUUGAACCGCUUCACAGAGGACUCCCUCCUGCGACAUGCGCAGUUUGUGGUGGAGCAGGUGGAGAGUUAUGACGAGGCCGGGGACAGUGACGAGCAGCCCAUCUUCCUGACGCCCUGCAUGCGGGACCUGAUCAAGCUGGCUGGGGUCACGCUGGGACAGAGGCGAGCCCAGGCGAGGCGGCAGACCAUCAGGCAUUCUACCAGGGAGAAGGACAGGGGACCCACGAAAGCCACCACCACCAAGCUGGUCUACCAGAUCUUCGAUACUUUCUUCGCAGAGCAAAUUGAAAAGGAUGACAGAGAAGACAAGGAGAACGCCUUUAAGCGCCGGCGAUGUGGCGUCUGUGAGGUGUGUCAGCAGCCUGAGUGUGGGAAAUGUAAAGCCUGCAAGGACAUGGUUAAAUUUGGUGGCAGUGGACGGAGCAAGCAGGCUUGCCAAGAGCGGAGGUGUCCCAAUAUGGCCAUGAAGGAGGCAGAUGACGAUGAGGAAGUCGAUGAUAACAUCCCAGAGAUGCCGUCACCCAAAAAAAUGCACCAGGGGAAGAAAAAGAAACAGAACAAGAAUCGCAUCUCUUGGGUUGGAGAAGCCGUCAAGACUGAUGGGAAGAAGAGUUACUAUAAGAAGGUGUGCAUUGAUGCAGAAACCCUGGAAGUGGGGGACUGUGUUUCUGUUAUUCCAGAUGAUUCCUCAAAACCGCUGUAUCUAGCAAGGGUCACGGCGCUGUGGGAGGACAGCAGCAACGGGCAGAUGUUUCACGCCCACUGGUUCUGCGCUGGGACAGACACAGUCCUCGGGGCCACUUCGGACCCUCUGGAGCUGUUCUUGGUGGAUGAAUGUGAGGACAUGCAGCUUUCAUAUAUCCACAGCAAAGUGAAAGUCAUCUACAAAGCCCCCUCCGAAAACUGGGCCUUGGAGGGAGGCAUGGAUCCCGAGUCCCUGCUGGAGGGGGACGACGGGAAGACCUACUUCUACCAGCUGUGGUACGAUCAAGACUAUGCGAGAUUCGAGUCCCCUCCAAAAACCCAGCCAACAGAGGACAACAAGUUCAAAUUCUGUGUGAGCUGUGCCCGUCUGGCUGAGAUGAGGCAAAAAGAAAUCCCCAGGGUCCUGGAGCAGCUCGAGGACCUGGAUAGCCGGGUCCUCUACUACUCAGCCACCAAGAACGGCAUCCUGUACCGAGUUGGUGAUGGCGUGUACCUGCCCCCUGAGGCCUUCACGUUCAACAUCAAGCUGUCCAGUCCUGUGAAACGCCCACGGAAGGAGCCUGUGGACGAGGACCUGUACCCAGAGCACUACCGGAAAUACUCCGACUACAUCAAAGGCAGCAACCUGGAUGCCCCUGAGCCCUACCGAAUUGGCCGGAUCAAAGAGAUCUUCUGUCCCAAGAAGAGCAACGGCAGGCCCAACGAGACUGACAUCAAAAUCCGGGUCAACAAGUUCUACAGGCCUGAGAACACCCACAAGUCCACUCCAGCGAGCUACCACGCAGACAUCAACCUGCUGUACUGGAGCGACGAGGAGGCCGUGGUGGACUUCAAGGCUGUGCAGGGCCGCUGCACCGUGGAGUAUGGGGAGGACCUGCCCGAGUGCGUCCAGGUGUACUCCAUGGGCGGCCCCGACCGCUUCUACUUCCUCGAGGCCUAUAAUGCAAAGACCAAAAGCUUUGAAGAUCCUCCCAACCAUGCCCGUAGCCCUGGAAACAAAGGGAAGGGCAAGGGAAAAGGGAAGGGCAAGCCCAAGUCCCAAGCCUGUGAGCCGAGCGAGCCAGAGAUAGAGAUCAAGCUGCCCAAGCUGCGGACCCUGGACGUGUUUUCUGGCUGCGGAGGGUUGUCGGAGGGAUUCCACCAAGCAGGCAUCUCUGACACGCUGUGGGCCAUCGAGAUGUGGGACCCUGCAGCCCAGGCAUUCCGGCUGAACAACCCCGGCUCCACAGUGUUCACAGAGGACUGCAACAUCCUGCUGAAGCUGGUCAUGGCUGGGGAGACCACCAACUCCCGCGGCCAGCGGCUACCCCAGAAGGGAGACGUGGAGAUGCUGUGCGGCGGGCCGCCCUGCCAGGGCUUCAGCGGCAUGAACCGCUUCAAUUCGCGCACCUACUCCAAGUUCAAAAACUCUCUGGUGGUUUCCUUCCUCAGCUACUGCGACUACUACCGGCCCCGGUUCUUCCUCCUGGAGAAUGUCAGGAACUUUGUCUCCUUCAAGCGCUCCAUGGUCCUGAAGCUCACCCUCCGCUGCCUGGUCCGCAUGGGCUAUCAGUGCACCUUCGGCGUGCUGCAGGCCGGUCAGUACGGUGUGGCCCAGACACGGAGGCGGGCCAUCAUCCUGGCCGCGGCCCCUGGAGAGAAGCUCCCUCUGUUCCCGGAGCCACUGCACGUGUUUGCUCCCCGGGCCUGCCAGCUGAGUGUGGUGGUGGAUGACAAGAAGUUUGUGAGCAACAUAACCAGGUUGAGCUCGGGUCCUUUCCGGACCAUCACGGUGCGAGACACGAUGUCCGACCUGCCGGAGGUGCGGAAUGGAGCCUCGGCACUGGAGAUCUCCUACAACGGGGAGCCUCAGUCCUGGUUCCAGAGGCAGCUCCGGGGCGCACAGUACCAGCCCAUCCUCAGGGACCACAUCUGUAAGGACAUGAGUGCAUUGGUGGCUGCCCGCAUGCGGCACAUCCCCUUGGCCCCAGGCUCAGACUGGCGCGAUCUGCCCAACAUCGAGGUGCGGCUCUCGGACGGCACCAUGGCCAGGAAGCUGCGGUAUACCCACCAUGACAGGAAGAAUGGCCGCAGCAGCUCUGGGGCCCUCCGUGGGGUCUGCUCCUGCGUGGAAGCCGGCAAAGCCUGCGACCCCGCAGCCAGGCAGUUCAACACCCUCAUCCCCUGGUGCCUGCCCCACACUGGGAACCGGCACAACCACUGGGCUGGCCUCUAUGGAAGGCUCGAGUGGGACGGCUUCUUCAGCACAACGGUCACCAACCCCGAGCCCAUGGGCAAGCAGGGCCGUGUGCUCCACCCAGAGCAGCACCGCGUGGUGAGCGUGCGGGAGUGUGCCCGCUCCCAGGGCUUCCCUGAUACCUACCGGCUCUUCGGCAACAUCCUGGACAAGCACCGGCAGGUGGGCAAUGCCGUGCCACCGCCCCUGGCCAAAGCCAUUGGCUUGGAGAUCAAGCUCUGUAUGUUGGCCAAAGCCCGAGAGAGUGCCUCAGAGACAGGGUCUUGUUCUUUCACCCAGACUGGACUGCAGUGAUGUGAUCAUAGCUCACUGCAGCCUCGAACUCCUUCGCUCCAGAGAUCCCCCGACCUCAGUCUCUGGAGUAGCUGGGACUACAGUUUUUUCCCCUGCGGAGUCAUCAUGAAUCACUUCAACUGAGGACGGUUGUGCUUAGAGCAAGGAGCUGAGCAAUAAAGAAGUAAACGCACAAAAUUAUACCGGAAAGCCAAGAACGCUACAAAGAAAAGAAGAGGGAGUGGCUGAGGAGAGGCCACUUGGCAUCUGAAUCAUUGGGAUCGGGAAAGAAGACAAGGAACAGUUUAAGCAAAAGGAUUGUUUUCCCUGAGCUUUGGUUUCUUUUUUCUUUCUUUUUUUUUUUCUUUUUUAGAGACAGGGGUCUCACUAUGUUGCCCAGGCUUGUCUCAAACUCCUGGUGUCAAGCCAUCCCCACGCCUCAGUCUCCCAAAGUGCGGGAUUACAGGCAGGUGCCACUGCACCCAGUCAGAGCCUCAGCUUCUUCAGCUGUAAAAUGGAAGUAAUAUCAUCCUCACCAUGCUUCAUAUACGAUAAGCACUC